rnacentral:lncRNA from 1 species
ACCCAACCUGCAAUCACAAAAAGAAAAUAAUGAGCGCUGCGGCGGCAAGGAGCGGCAGGGAGGAUGGGAUUUUCCUGCACCACGGUUGCAGUCACCGGUGGAUUUUGCAGGCUCGGGAGACGUCGCGCGGGUCAGGAGCGGAGACGGCGUCGGCUCUGCAGGAAGAAAAAGAGGGACAAAUAGGUUUAAUAUUGAUUGUGUCCCCCAAAUCCCCCCCUUUUUUUUGCUCUUACCCCACGCGGCGCAAAAAAGCGUCUUGCCGUGCUGCGGUUCUGGGACGGUUUGUGCAAUCAGAGAGGGCGCGGGCGCAAAGGCAGGGGAAAAACGCGGGGAAAGGCGCGUGCGAGGACGCAGGGGAAGGGGUUUGCAAAGACGCGCUUUCCGCGCGCGCACGACGGCCGCUGCCUGCGAAGGCGCGAGGGAAAGGUGCGAGGAAAGACGCGCUUUGUGCCCCCGCGAUCGCUGCUGCACGCGAAGACGGAGCGAGGGGUGCGAGGAAACACGCGCUUUCUGCGCGGGCGAUCGCUGCUGAAUCCAAAGACGCAGGGGAAGGGGUUUGCAAAGACGCGCUCUCCGCGCGCGCACGAUUGCUGCCGCGCGCGAGGACGCACGCGGAGACGCGCGCGCAGACGUGUGGCGAGCAACUCGGCCAAGAAAGCCCCCCGGGACUCAGAGGGAAGCAGCGGUGGAUUUUGGGGCGCGCGGGCCGGCUGCUCCCCGCCACCGUGCAGGAUGAUGUGCGCCAGGCAGGCGUUGUCCAAGCUGCCCUGGGCUCGGUGAAACGUUUUCCCGGUGAAGUUGAUGGGGACGGUGACCUGAUUGUCCCGGCGAACGUUGGCGGUGAUGGUGGGACACGGCUCAGCUGGAGGGAGAAGAAGUUGCAAAGCCGUAAAUUCACUUGGGAGCGGUGAGGAAGGACUGUGAAGAUGAACCAUCCGUACAUUCUUGUGCCGUCUUGCGCCACGAGCUCGGCCCAGCAGUCGGUAGGUGCCAGCUUUACGUGGGCAUCCCCACGGAGGCAACGGUGGCCUCGCCGCACACCGACCCACCGCCCUUCAGAAAACUCCGGUAUUUUAUACAUUUGCCAAGCAACGGCUCUCGACGCUUGCGGCCACGAGUGCAAAACACGCCUCGAUUGCAUCAGAAGCAGCCCAGGACGCACGUGCCUGCCGGCCAGGCGCGCUGCACAUGCCGUAACCAUCCCUUCUGUUGGUUCACGGGCUUUGCGCACGCGGCAAAUUACCCUCAUCCAUCGGUCCCAUCCACUGUGCUCUAACCAACGGCAAGACUUUUGCAAGGUAAGCAAAAUUAUGUGCGGUGCCUGGUAUUCCUCCAUUAUUGCAUGUACCACCUCCCCUAACGUUGCUGAACCUCCUUAGCCCCACGGUCAGCAUUUCAAACAACAGAUGAUAAACUCCCUGUUCCCUGUGCUGACUGCGUUUUUUAGUUAUCUACUUCUUACUCAGUGUUCAUCCACGGACCAAAAUUCCAGCUUUUAACCCUUCCGUACACAGGUGGAAAGAAAACAGGGGGUUGCAAAAAAUAAGGGGGUUUGCAGAAAAUACAGGAGUUUGCAAGAAACGGGGCUUGUAGUGAGACGGGGAACCAAAAGAACCGUAGUAGAUACAGUAGAUAUAUGAAUGUAGAUAGGCAUUGUUUAAUAAUUAUCUAGCUUAUAAUGAAGUUAAGGAAGUUUCAAUAGAGGUAGACAUGGCCCAAGGGGAUGAGAAGUGGUGCUUAACGUUUGAGGCUGACUGGGACAGGAGAUAGUCCCUGAGAAGGAGCAGCAGUGACUCCAAGAACCAGCCACGACUGACCUGGUGAUUUGGACAAAUGCCAAGGGACAACUGAGUGUGCGCAGGGGACAGAAAGUUAAGAGUUCACCGUGAAGAAGACAUACAGCCUUCAUCUUCACGACCACCAGACGACCACCAUAAGGAGGCACUGCCCAAGGGCAGUUCAGAGGAGACUAUGGAAAUGACCUCUCGGAGCUAAUUUUAAUAUGAAGCGGGGAUAGGUAAUGCCUACGUAUAGGCGUAUUGCGAAACGCCAUGUAUACGUAACACUCGACCGUAUAAACUCGAAGCGAACUCCCGCGUCGGCGCACGACUUUGGUGGGACUCCCCGCCGUGCUGCCCGGCGCUGAACGAACAUACCGACUUUACAAUCCCGCUGGCUGCGCAGUCCGUAGGAAACGGGGAGGGUUGCAAAAAGAUGGGGGGGUGGCAUAAAGUAGGUUUGGGUUCAAAAAACAGGUGGGUUUGCAAAAAAAGAAAAAGGGGGGGUGGAGGGGCAAAAGAAAAACAGACCGGAUGGCAAAAAAACC